GUAAAGAUGGACUGCAGUUAGCUAGAAGCCUACAAUCAGGAAAAGGAGACAACUGUGAAAGUUAAUAUCCAAUCCUAUAAGCAUGAAGUGCUUGCUUCACUUGAGUAUCAUCAAGUGAGAACUGAAAUCAAGAUAUAGCGGGAGAUUAAAAGGAAGAUGUCAAAAUGUUUGAUCAAUAAGAUUUAUUGAGUAUAUCCGCAGAACUAAAACUCAGGCUGAGCAACACUGGGACCAGAACACAUGUACAAAUCUUGAAAAGCUCAAGGACACCAGUGUGAGAUCUGCUAUCACCAUUCAGCUGAAGAACAGAUUCCAGGCUUUGCAGGAACUUAACUAGGAUGUGUCAGUUGACAGGAUCUACACAAUGUGGAAAUGGAUUGCUUCAGUCCACAAGGAGAGCAGUGAGGCUUGUCUAAGAUACAAAGUUUGAAAGAAGAAUAAAAAAUGGACACAGCAGGAAACAUCAACAACAUUAAAAAAGACAGAAAAUUAAGAAGAAAGUGUUAGAUGCAAAGUCAACAUGAAUAAAGGUAAAACAUCAACUGGCAUUACUGCAUCUAACAAGAAAGAGACUUGUAAAAAAGGAUAAGAGAAUCUACAUAGAAGACCUUGCAGAGGAAGUUGAAGCAACAACCAUUGAAGGUGCGCAGGGAAAUGGAUACAAGAUUUCAAAAUUGGUAUAUGGAACGUACCAGGCUAGGCACAGAUAAAAACAAUCUGCUUUUAACAAUUGAGAAGGAACAAGAAGCACGAUAGGUGGAAUAAUUCAGAGAAUUACUGAAUAGACAACCAUCAGAUUAAGAACCUGACAUACAAGUGCAGCAGAGGCCUUUGACAUCCACACAGAUCCAUGCAAGAAAGAAGAGAUUGCUGGUGCAAUUAGAUCAUUGAAGAACAGCAAAGCUCCAGGACAUGACAAUUUGAAUGAUGACCUGUUCAAAGCUGAACCAAAAGUUGCAGCAAUCAUCCUGCAAAUAGUGUUAACUAUAACCUGGGAAUGGAAACAAGUAUCCAGGAAAUAAACAAUGGGAGAUAUUGUAAGGAUCCCCAAGAAAGAAGUGCUAAGUGAUUGCAACAACUGGCAUGGCAAUGCACUUUUGUAAGUGUCCAGCAAGAUUCUCACCAAAGUCAUUGUACAAUGGAUUACAGACGCUAUUGAUGUGUGCUUGAGGAAGGCUGUGUCAAUCAGAUCUUCAUGAUGCAAAACAUGACAGAAUAUUGCAGAGUGGCAGAAACAAUUGUAUGCGGAUUUUGUGAACUUUGAAAAGGCUUUUGAUAGCAUCCACAUGGAGACCCUCUGGCAAAUUCUCAAAUCUACCAAAGUUAUCUAGUUUAUCCAAUGUUUCUACGUUAACUUCACCUGCAGAAUUAGAGACUGCAUUGAAAGUUAAGACAGGAGUCAGGCAAGGCUGUGUGAUGUGGACGAUAUUAUGUAACUUGGUGAUUGGGCUUUGAGCCAAACAAUGAAAGAUAAGCAAAGAGGCAAGGCUGAACUCUAUUCUCUACUUUAGAAGACCUUGAUUUUACAGAUGACCUCAUAUUACUAUCACACACAAGAGAAAACUCAGUGCCUGUGUACCUUUGAUGGACAGCUUGGACUCAGAGAGAGCCAGAGAAAGACUGAGUCAUGACCCUCAGAGUAGGGUCUCCUCUUCCCAUCAAUGUGUAUGGCAUCUACUUACCUAUUCACCCGACCUGGGCAGCAGCAUACUGCAGGAAGAUGGGGCCAAGGAUAACAUCCAGUGUAGACUCAGCAAAGCUAGAAGCAUCUUUGGAUCAAUGAGAUCCGAACAUAUGGAGAUCCACGAAGUACAGAGUCCACACCAAGGUGAUACUGUACAAGAGCUGUGUUCUGUCCACACUCCUGUAUGGGUCAGAAUGUUGGCACAUGACAGAAAACAACCUUGCAAAGCUGUCAUCAUUCAAAACCAUGAGCCUAUGGUAGAUCCUUCAUAUUUUUUUGCCCAGAAGAGAUCUCCAACCAUGCCCUACACCUUUAGUGUUACCAAGAGGACGUAGCCACAAUCAGCAUGAGGAAAUAUUGGAGAUACAUUGGGCAUGUGAUCAGAAUACAGAGCAACUCCAUCAUCUAGAUAGCACUUCAUCGGACCCCGGAAGGACAGAGGAAAUGUGGGAGACAAAACACGACUUAGUGCCAUACCAUAAAGGACGAAAUGAUGACCUUGAACCACACCUAGGGCACAAUAGAGAAAAUAGCGUAGGACAGGCAGAGAUGGGGGACCUUCAUUGCUGCCCUAAACUCCAGUGGCAUAAAAGGCAGUAACUCUGCAGGAAAAUGAAUCUCAGGGUUUAAUAUAGUGACAUAUAUGUACUUUGAUAAUAAAUUUACUUUGAACUUUGAACUUUGUAUGCUGAGUUCUAGUACUUCCAUUUAAACAUUGUUGGCAUUAUAUCAACACUGGGACAUUGGUAGUCCUCAAAGUCAGACAGAAUUUGGUAAUAUUUUGAUUGAAAAAAAUUAUUUUUAUCUAGUCACUAAGGUCCUGCCAUAAAUUUUCAGUGGGAAAUGACCAUAAUGGGCCUGUACUCCUUGGAGGUCAAAAACCUGUGAUGUUCUCGCUGAGGCAUUAGAUACUGAACAGGUCCAACAAGAGGAGAUUCUGUGGGGAAGUUUCCCCAGGUGGAGGAACCUAGAACUAGUAACCAUUGUCUCAGGAAACCGGGUCAACUAUUUAAAUUUGAGAGAAAGACGAAUUUCUUCAGAGAGUAACCAACUUUCGGAAUUCUCCAUCCCUGUGAGGUAUAGAGACAAAAUCAUUAAGAUAAUGGUUAUUUUGCACUACAAGGGAAUCAAAGGUAAUGGAAAUUGAAUGGGAAACCAGGAGUGGGGCCACUUUCCUUACUUAACUGACAGAAUGUGUCUGAGUAGCUGUUGGCCUACUGCUGCUCCUGUUUUUUAUGUUCUGAUUCUACUCUAAUUGUGCAUUAUAUUGCUAUUUGUCUCAGAGAUCACAGAAUAGUUGACCUUGGGAAAAUGCAGCUUGGAUGUAUUUGCGGCACAGAACAAUGAACAUAACUCCACAUUGUAUUUUAUCUGAGAGCACUAGAUAGGCCAUCGGAGAAGGAUCUUAAGUGAGGAUAUAACCAUAGUGUAUCUAAUUUGAGACUGCUUGACUCAGCCAUUAAACACAAAAUGUUCCAUUACCCUGGUAAUGCAUUUGUCAUCUUGAUGAGUACCUUUCAGUAAUAAGCAAUG